GGGACCGGGGCAGGGGGUGGGCAGCAUGGCGGCGGCGCACGCGCGGCUCCCGGGGUGAAGCCGCGCCCUGAGGAGAAGCCGGGCGGAGGCGGGGAGAUGGCGAUGGGAGAUGAAAGCAACCAAAACUACACCUUGCAUGCCGUUGAGCCACCAUUUGCGACGAGGAGGACCGAGGGACCUGCAGAGGUCACCAUUUCUCCACCGAGGCUCUCCACCUCUCAGCGAGGAACCUCCAGCUGCGGUUACUGCCUUCUGCUGAAACUGCAUGUGCUGCAGCCGAGUUAUUUCUAGACGAUCAGUUUCCUGCAAUAUUCUAAGAAGUUCCACCAGCAUAAACAUAAAUAAGUGGAAAAGAAGAUGUAAAGAAGGAGGGAAAAGGUGGCUGCUCAAGCUGGCACCAAUGUGAAAAAAAAGUGCUUAUGUGCAUCAAGGCCUGGUGGCUGAUCUGUCCCUGCUUGCCUGGCAGCAGCAGCCCUUGCAGCACUGGUGGCCAACCCUUCAGCUACUGCAGUCCACAAACUGGCAGGUAAAUCUAAGUUAUUUCAUUGAUAUCUUAAAACACCGCAGCUAAAGCUACCCAAGGUCAUGCAGCAAGGCCCCAGGUUGUAUCAAAAUCAGUGAAAUAAGAGUGUGCAUCUUUUAAUGUUUUAAUUUAAACUAUCCGUUUUAAAGAGCUAGAGCCGUGUAACUUUCUGGUGAAGAUAAGAGUUUGGUUUGAGGCUCAGCAAAUUCCUGGUACGAGAAAAAGUCUCUUGGGACAAAAUGUUUUGCCCUUGCUUGUUUUCUUUCCUUCUACGCUAGAGAUUCUGACAUCCCUGUUACCCAACAUGAGAAUACACUAUGAUUUUUAAACAUGUUUCCUUCCCAGUACGUAUCAGUGGCCUGAUUUCCAGAACUGGUAUUUCUGUGUAGCAUCGUUAGGAGUUGUGCUGCUUUUUGGUAACUGUUCAAUCAGUAUUUUGAAAAAAUAGAAAUAUCGGUCAACUUUAUUGUUACUUUUGCAAAAUUAGACAGAAGUAAAAGCUGUUAAGUAGCACUGAGGCUCAGCCAGGAGCACUUCCCUAAAUACACUAAGCUUAGAUGGUUUGGGCAGUGCAGAAGUGGCAAAUAAAAUUCAGAAGUCUCUAACCAAGCUAAAAUAUUAAAAGCCCAGCUGAAAGUGCACAGAGAAGAGUGGCCUGCUUUUUCACAGGUCACAGCCCUGAAACCUGAUGUUGCGGGAAGUUAGAUAAAGAUGUGCUGCUUCCUGCGGUGCUGCACUGGAAAGAUACUGGUUAGAAAUCUCUGUUUAAAGGAGAAGGAAACUGGACAAAGACCACUAAAUUCUGCUUGCUUUCCAUCGUUUAAAGAAGGAAACUUUGCUGCUAGCUUUUCAAGGGCUAUCUUUGUUCGGUAAUCUUGUUGCAGACUAACUGUAAAUUCUUGUAAUGUCACUCCUAAAGGCAGCUAUGCUUAGAGCAUAGCUUUACGUAGUUUUUAUGUAAUUUGACGUAUAAAAGCAAUUUUUUUAAAUGAUUAGAAUAUUUAUAUUUAGAAAUUAACUGGUUCAGUCAGGAGGGAGAAUGGGCGAUCUGUAUGAUAGCAAAGCCAAACAGGAAAACUAAAGGUGCGUUUUGAGAUUUUGGGUUCCUUUUCUCCCUUUUAGGUAUUUGGGUCAGACACUUAGUGAUUAUUCAGCAUGAUAAGGAUCAUAUCUUGAUUGGGGCCCAGACAUACCACUGGAGGGUUCGUAAUGAGUCUUGUUUUUAAUGACUUGUUGUAAAGAGUUUUGAACAGUUAAUGUUUGGAGAUACUUUAUUGUUUGUAGGGAAAAAUAGCGUACAUUAUAUGUGUGAUGCAGUAGAAUAAAACUUUGCAUAUGGAAAGUUAUUCAUUGCUAACACAUGGUGGAUGUUUACAGAACUUUUCCGUUUAGUAAAAGGAAUUGUCUGCUGAUCCUAAUCAGGUAAUCAUUAGAGCCAGGUUUCAUCCUAUCGGAGUAGAGGCUUUUAAGUUAAAGAACGAGACAGCUGACUUACAGGCACUUCCCGUUAGCCAUGUAGUUUACCCAAGCUCCUCUCUCUGAAGAUGCAUGUGCUUUUCUGUUGAUUAUAAAGAGAACCCGUGGUGCCUCCUAACCUAGAUAACCUAACUGAAUAAAUCCUUACCCAUAUCUUUGAAGUGUUAUGGCUUUGUUUCAAGAGGAACUUUGUGUUUGACUUUUCAAGGUGAAAAUAAAGCAACAACCAAAGCUUGUAAGGUGGGUGCAGCAGCCAACAAUUUUUACUAUUGUUAAAAGUUCUAAAACUACUUUUGGAUGAAAAUGAACUUUUCAUUCACAAGCUGCCAAGGUGCUGUGAUUUGUGGUCAUGCAGAGGUCAGCAACUUUGAAAUCUCAUUACUUGAAAUAGGUAGGCUUCAAUUUUUGUAGUACUAAGCUGUGCUUUUAAACCUGCCAAUAAUCUAUCUAGUGGAGAUUCAAACUUCUGAAGUUAACUCUCUUCGUUACCGGGUACUAUGUGAAUUUCUCUGUGAGUUUGAAUAGCAACAUUCACUGGAUCGUACCUGCAUCAUGCAUGUUUUUGUGACUUGUUAUCUGAGAUGUAAAAGGCGUGAUAACAGGAGUCAUCCCCAUUAAGUUAGUAUCCUGGAUGAGAGUUCAGAAAAACAGACAGAGGUGCUGGGUUUUGGACCCUUUGGGUCCUCUGAAAUAACUGUGAUUAUUUUAUGAUGCAGGAUCUCCCUACUCAUUGCAGUGAUUAUUUUAAGAAUUUAGUGGAGCUGUUAAUUCUUAAUUUUUUAUUUAUAUAUUUUUAAACAUCUGCAUGAUAGCAGCUUUCCUCUGACGACUUUUCUGGCUACUACACCGUCUAAGCAGAAUCUCGUGUUGCAGGUAUCUGUGCAGCUUGUUCCAGGACUGUUUGUUUUUGAGCUCCAUCUGCUGGAAUUGUGUCCUGUUUCCCACAUCUUCGGUGUUAUUAAGCUGCCAGGUUUCACAGGAAUUGUUUUAGAUUUAAAAGAGAAUAAAGAACAAAGGUCAGUUUGGAGGAUUGCUAGCAAGUUGCUGGUCCUUUUGUUUAUGGCAUCAACAUAAAAAUUGCUUGUAGAAUUCAAGGCUCAAAACACAAAGUGAUUGUGAGACUGAGGAGGAUAAAUGUUAGUUCUGCUUUUGUUUACAGAGUUAGUUUCUAGGUAUUUUAUAGAGAUUUAGAUUAAUCAGGUCAGGUCAUAACCUAUUCAGUUCUGUCUUACUAAAGAUUUCAAAAAUAGGUUAUGUACUUCACUCAUUUUUCUGAAUUAGUUUUUUUUCCCCCUAAUGUCUGUUGUUACUGUGUAACUGAGAAAACUAGCAGCAUUUUCAAUAUUUAAUUAACUCUUUAAAAAGCUGUGCUUUCCCAUUAUAACUCUGUUUCUACUAUUUCUGAAUAUUUAAGGACAGAAGGGACCAUGAUGAACAUCUAAUUUGAUUUCUGGAGUUCCAUUGUUCCUUAACAAAAACGUACCGCAAAGAAUAAUGCGCAGAAUUGGAAAGGAGGGCCCUGCUGUGCAAAGCCACUUUAAAACUGUUUAAGUAGUCAGAGGCUUUCAUGGUAAAUUAUAUGAUGACUUUCUACAAGUUCUCUUUGUAAGAAGCACCAGUUCUGUUCGAUACACACGAUAAUGUAUAUGUGUAGAAUUAGGACUGCCGCCAGUCUUUGGGUGCAGGCAGGGGUGCUGGCAGCGCAUGUAAUUCUAAAGAACAAGCACUUCUCUGGAAUGAUCCCUUCUCAAAAAGCAACCCACCUGCACUGUCCUUUUCUUUAGCUGGAAGGUUAAUACCACCUUCCUUCUACCUGACCCAUAGCGAAUGUUACUGAGGUAGAUUGUGCUUUGUAAUGGGUUUCUGUAUACAGUAAUUUCAAAUAUUAUUUCCUUGCUGUCCGUCUGCCUGUUAGCAAUAUUUUGUGUUCACUUAUGAUCGCAAUUUUAUUUUUUUUUUCAAUAUACCAAACUUUGCCUGAACUAGUUUAAGUUUCUUGGUAUGGGUGAAUCUCCAGUUUUACCCAUGUCUUGGGGACGGGUUGGGAGGAAGAGAUGGAGAACAGAGAAGGCACGAGGGGUAAUAUUAAACGUACGUGUUCCCUAGGCUUCUGCAUGGGACAAAACUGUCAGUCUGUUUUCCACGCAGGUUUAGAGGGAUACUCUGCAGUUCAUGACAGGUUCCUGUAAAACGGAAAGAUAGCCAAGGCAUCUCUUGGCUGUUGGGCUUUGCCAUUAGGUGGGCACGCGCUGCCUUAGGCUGGUACUGAAGUGCCACGGUUUGAGGUCAGACCUGCAGAGAAUCGGGCAAUUCAACAACGAAGGGCUCUGCUGCUGUGCUCUGAGGUUAAAACCGGCUGGUACGCAACUCUGUGCCACUAGAAUAAGUUAGAUCAUUGCUGCUAUUUCUGUAAUGACAAGUAAUUUGGAUUUAAAAGUAUUCAGCAGUAAUCACGGUCAAACCCCCAGUGCAGCUCACCUCUGCUCCUGGGACAGAAGUGUGAGGUGCUUGCCGUUGUUAGCACAGACCCAAAUUCUAAUUAAUAUCUCCGUAACCCAAACAUGUUGUUCUGAUUAGCCGCUCUUUGCCUAGGCAUUUCUGCACAGCCUGCCCUGUUUGAAACCCUGCCUUUUUCUGACUUCACUUCCUGAAUCCGUUGACAACACUCACAGCCAAACAAAAUACAUGUUCACAAUGCUGUUAUUUGCAAAAUAUUCCCUUGUGAGUACAGCUGGGGCAACAAAAAGAGAGUUUCUUUCUGAAUCUCAAAGAGAGCUGACUUUUCCUUAUAAAAGCGAGGCGCACAAAGCAUUAGGCAAUUUUAAUCUCGAGUUAAGUAGGUGUUAAAACUUUACAUUUCACCACAUAUAAACGCACGCAUGUCUUUCAUUACAGUCAUGUGUAUUGAUUACCAAGCCAUCUAGUAAUACGCGAAGAGUGCUGAAUUUUAGUCUCUGCUGAAGUGAACCAUGCAGCGACAGGCUCACAGCCCACCACGCUGUGUACAAAACAGACGGAGGCGACGCAAACUUUCUUUGCCUCGUCUCGGGCCUGAUCCUGACACGAGGUCUAAGAAAGGAUUCGUGCUCCGGUGCCCCUCGUCUCCUUGCGGCUCUGCACGUUGGCACCAAAACCCACCUUGCUCGAUGGCAGCGUCUCUGCCGGGCUGGGCCGAGCCCAGCAGCCCACGUCACGCCGGCCGGCCGGUGCCCACGUAGGGAGCAGCGCUGCUCCUCGGUGACUUUGUGCCGGUGCCACGGAGCGUCGUGCUGGAGAGGGACGAGACGUAACCGCAACGCGAAGUGUCUGUGCGCGCAUUAGGAUGGGGUGGAGCAGACUGUCACUCAGCUGUGUUUAAUUAACAUAGUAUUUUAUAUAAUGUAUUUAUUUUUUUGCGUAAUUAGGUGAUUAAGCAAAAUGCUUGCUAGUAACAUCUAUUCCAUAACCCAGCACUGUUGAGUUAAGCAGGCACCUUUGCAGGUAAUUAAUCUCCUUGCCCUGCUUAUUUUGCUAGUUGGCACUUGCUAAAUCCCUGUAAAACCACACCCAGCAGUGCUGUGUAUUAUCCCUCUGCUGUCUAUUCCUACAUAUGGUCAAAAUCAACUUACCUUCCGGGUUGCUGACAUCAGCAAAAUGUACUCUUGGCAAACUGCAGUAUCCUCCUAGUAACCCUUUGUUUGGUUGGUGUUGUUACAAGCCUAUUCCUCUGGCAGCAGCAAACAGCAUCUGAACGCUCGCCUACCUUGACACUUGGGCUACGACGUGGAAGGAUAUCACCACCAGACAGUUAAAACAUUAAAACAACGCCUCACAGGAUAAAGAUCAUAUAAAAUGUGUGUCCCACCCCCCCAAAUUAAAUCAGUCAGAAGAGACAGCUCUGUGCUUCCUGUAAGGAACUGGUCUCUGGACACACAGUAGCUGCAAGUUUCAGGGCAUCAUUUUGGUAACAGGGAAGGUAAACAUACACAGUUACCUAGUCAUCUGGAGAAGUGACCUUAAGCAAGACUCGCUCCAGUUGAAAUUAUGCCUAUCUGUAUUUUAAGGAAAAAAAAAGACAUUAAGACUGCCUGCUCUGAAAAGUUAAUAUUGUUACUUCUCUAAUAAUUCUUAGUAUUUUCUGCCUCUCUUUUGAUGGUAUCUUUUUCCUCUUACCUCUUUGGCCAUAAACAUCAUGCAGGAAAACAUCUGAUCUCCCCUCAAAUAUAUACUCAUGAAACGGGUACAGUGUUCUAAAAAAUCUGGCACCAAAAUCAUUUCCCCAAAGAGUUAAGUAGUAUGUUUCUAAGGUAUAUAUUUACAUCAUUGUACUAAAACCCAAGUUUUUAUUUAAACUAUAUGGGAAGUGCCAGAAAAGUUCCUCCCAUGUCUUUUCAUUUCCUGCCAGGCAGUUUUCCCAGCUUUCCUAGUGCUAAAAAGUUUGGGACUUGCAGUAACACCUGAAGGGAAGGGAUUUCAAGGUACAGAGAGUUAUAAAGUUAUUUACUGCUGA